GAUGAACGCUGGCGGCGUGCCUAAUACAUGCAAGUCGAGCGAACAGAUGAGGAGCUUGCUCCUCUGACGUUAGCGGCGGACGGGUGAGUAACACGUGGAUAACCUACCUAUAAGACUGGGAUAACUUCGGGAAACCGGAGCUAAUACCGGAUAAUAUAUUGAACCGCAUGGUUCAAUAGUGAAAGACGGUUUUGCUGUCACUUAUAGAUGGAUCCGCGCCGCAUUAGCUAGUUGGUAAGGUAACGGCUUACCAAGGCAACGAUGCGUAGCCGACCUGAGAGGGUGAUCGGCCACACUGGAACGGAGACACGGUCCAGACUACUACGGGAGGCAGCAGUAGGGAAUCUGCCGCAAUGGGCGAAAGCCUGACGGAGCAACGCCGCGUGAGUGAUGAAGGUCCUCGGAUCGUAAAACUCGGUUAUUAGGGAAGAACAAAUGUGUAAGUAACUAUGCACGUCUUGACGGUACCUAAUCAGAAAGCCACGGCUAGCUACGUG
rnacentral:rRNA from 1 species